rnacentral:rRNA from 1 species
CCUUACGGCCAUACCACCCUGGAUGCGCCCGAUCUUGUCUGAUCGCUAAGCAGGGUCAGGCCUGGUUAGUACUUGGAUGGGAAACCGCCUGGGAAUACCAGGUGCUGUAAGCU